CUGCAGCCAGUUAACCCACCAUGCUCCUUUCCUUGUGGGGGACUGAUCACAGUGGCUGCAAAGAGCAGCCCCCAUAGUGUAUGCAGCCUGUGCUUGUAUGGGUCGCUCUAAGGGACCUUGGGGUCAGAU